GCAGUGGGGACAGGUCUGUCCAAACAACAACCGGAAGGAUCAUUUAAAAGGCAACCGCAACUACAUUGUGCGUCUGUCCUCUUUCUGAUACCGUGGCGGCAGACAUUUUGCCAUGGCGGGCCAGCACGACAGAAUUUCCAUAGA